UACAAAAUGUUAUAUUUUAUAAAGUGUAAGUGUAAAAUAAUAUUGAAAAACAUUAUCUUCAUAAUUUUUCAAUUUGAAAUUUAAUUUAUUAAUACUAUCAUAAUCAUGAAUAUUUAACACCACAUAAUCUUUGUUAUGCCUGGGCAUAGCCAGCACAAAAUCUGCACAUACCUAUCAAUGAACCCAUAUACUUUAAUGUUAAGCUCAAGUAACGAUAAAUAAAUGUAUAUCUUUACAUCUCUAGAAUAACACCAUUUAAAUGAUCUGGCUUCCAAGGUGGGGUCCUAAGGACUUUGACAUCACGUACGUGACAUGUAUUUAAAACCCCAGGUUUGAGUGGUGAUGUAUGGGGAAGAUGGGAACACUCUUAGAAACCUGGUGCCUACCAGAACGUCCGGCACAUUUCUCACUUUGUAAAUAGUAGUUCUGUGAGGGUGGCUUUGACUACUCUUUUGAAAUGUACUGAGCUUGAGGUAGAUCGGUGACAUGGAAGUAUACUAUUUAUGUGCUGAUACAUUCUAUGUACAUCAUCAGCUCCAACCCUUGUGUAUGUUACAUAAGAAAUUUAAAUAAUUGUCAUGCUGUGCAGUUAUUGUACCAGGUAUCGAAGCAAGGAUAAAUACCUAUUGCAAACUAAUUCUCGCCAAUGCCUCUUUGUGGGUGUGAGUGACCAGUGUUUAAAGUAGAUCUACCCCUAUAAGCUGUGAGGGUUGGUGUGAAACUUCCACUUUUCCUUAUUUGUUUGUUGGCCUGACCUGAAAUUGUUACAUUGAGGAAUGGUGAACACAGGCACCUUUUAUAAUUUUUAUGAGAGGAUAUAUACUUUAAAUAAUAUAUUUUAUGUAAUUACCUAAAUCUUGUGUAUGACAGUAUUUAAUGUCAUCCAAAGGUCUUAGCCCUGUUAUGCAUGUCGUUACCAGUACUGUUUGUUGCAAUUUUUUUAUUUUUCUAAUUUUGUUUGUAAUUUCUGGUCUAGUGGAUACGAGACCCAAGAGGAAGCGCGGUUACGUGGAGUGCCAGUACUGCGGCAAGCUGAUCCACAGCGCUGGGAUAUCCACCCACGUGGAAGACAAGCACAUGCCCUGUGAACCCGUGCCGUGCAAAUUCUGCCCCAGCGUCUGCAGAACUAGGAACAGCCUGAGGGCCCACCUGAGCGUCUAUCACCGCGGCAUGAACUCCCAGUAGCUCGGCCGCCAGGACGUCUCCACGUUGCCGUCAUGCACAUCUCCCGCCGGAUUUCUUCCAGCAGGCAUGCAUGUGAUGAUUCCCAAGAAAAAAAUUCACAUUCAAAGAAGUGGAUACGAGACCCAAGAGGAAGCGCGGUUACGUGGAGUGCCAGUACUGCGGCAAGCUGAUCCACAGCGCUGGGAUAUCCACCCACGUGGAAGACAAGCACAUGCCCUGUGAACCCGUGCCGUGCCAAUUCUGCCCCAGCGUCUGCAGAACUAGGAACAGCCUGAGGGCCCACCUGAGCGUCUAUCACCGCGGCAUGAACUCCCAGUAGCUCGGCCGCCAGGACGUCUCCACGUUGCCGUCAUGCACAUCUCCCGCCGGAUUUCUUCCAGCAGGCAUGCAUGUGAUGAUUCCCAAGAAAAAAAUUCACAUUCAAAGAAGUGGAUACGAGACCCAAGAGGAAGCGCGGUUACGUGGAGUGCCAGUACUGCGGCAAGCUGAUCCACAGCGCUGGGAUAUCCACCCACGUGGAAGACAAGCACAUGCCCUGUGAACCCGUGCCGUGCAAAUUCUGCCCCAGCGUCUGCAGAACUAGGAACAGCCUGAGGGCCCACCUGAGCGUCUAUCACCGCGGCAUGAACUCCCAGUAGCUCGGCCGCCAGGACGUCUCCACGUUGCCGUCAUGCACAUCUCCCGCCGGAUUUCUUCCAGCAGGCAUGCAUGUGAUGAUUCCCAAGAAAAAAAUUCACAUUCAAAGAAGGUAGUUUUGCAGUUGGUUUACAAACGGUCAGAACUUUUGUGUAUACUGUCAUAAUUCAAUGCAUUACGUGUAGUGUAGAAUUUUUAUAUGUAAACUCACUGAUACUCAUAGUUUAUAUGUAUAAUAUGAAUGCAAUAUGAAUACAAACUUGAUAACUCACCUAUUACAAAAUCUCAACAUGUCAAAGACCUGGGAAUUUUACUUGAUCAAAAACUAUUUAUUCAUCUUCAAAUUCAAAACCUUAUCUCGGUAUCUAACAAAAUACUUGGUCUAAUUAAAUUUAUCACCUUCAACACCUCAAAUAUCGACUCUAUUCUUUCUCUCUAUACAGCACUAAUACGAUCGAAUCUUGAAUAUGGUUCUAUGAUAUGGAAUAGCAUCAAUAACACUGACAUUGAAAAGCUUGAAAGGAUUCAUUCUAAAGUAUCUGACUAUAUUAACAAAAAAUUAAAUACCUUAAAAUCAUAGAUUUAAAUUCCCUCCUCGGUUCACUAUCAACUAGAAGAAAGAUCUUAGAUGCCAUAAUUGUUUUCAAUUGUUAGAAUGGUAAUCUUAUAUGUCCUCAUAUAUUUGAUGUUACUGGCUUUAAAAUUCCUUUAUUAAAUAGCCGUAACCCACCUUUUUUGUGCACACUCUUAAAUUCAAAAAAUAAUAUUAUAUAUAGAAUUGUAAACAAUUUCAAUAUGUAUGUUAAAUCACUUACAACCUACCUGAGAGAGAAAAAACUUGUUAAAAAAAUUAUUAUUUUGGCAUCCAAAGAUUAAUCAUCUUUAUGCUCUAAUGUUUUUUCCCUAAAUUAUUUAAUACUAGAUAUAUUAAUAUAAAAUUUUAUCAAUUUAUGGAUACUAACUGUAACUAUCUACAUAAUAUUAUAUGUUCUGUACUUACCUUAGUUACAUGUAGUAUAUUCCAUGGUGUUGUAAUGCAUUAUAUUUCCUUUAGUAUUAUCUUUUACUUUAUGUUUCAAUUAUUCAUACUAGAUGUAACUUCAGUUUGUGUGUGUUGUAUGUGUCAAUGUUUUAAUUCAUUUUGUUUUGUAUUUGUUAAUUGUAAUUUUUUUGUGUUUGUUUUAAUGUAUGGUGGCUACUACCCUGACUCAUCGCUGUUGGUAGUCAUCUCACAAAAUUAAUAAAUAAAAAUAAAUAAAAAUAAAUAUGAUUUUUGAAACUACUGAAAUGAAUUACUUAUUUGUAUUCUAUGUCAUGUAUGGAAAUAGUGUUAUGUUAUUACUGUUUACUUUUAUCUGCUUGUAUAACAAAUCACAUUUGCACCACAACUUUCAACACUAAAUAAAGAAAGACAAUGAGAUUACCACAUGCAACAAGAAUCUUAUGUGAAUUACCAAAGUGCUUUCUUUAAUGUAAUAUUUUAGGAAUAGAUCAAAUUAAGUGAUUGAAUUAUUCUAAAUUCAUUAAAUUCAUGUUUACUUGUUCAAAAUAUUUCAAUAAAGUCUUUAAAUGUUGUUAAACUAGAAACUACAUGUGAUUUGCAUUCAGCAAUUUAGACGAAAACAGAAUUUGCAUAUAUUUAUCACGCUUGGCAUUAUUUUAAAAUUUCUACAUUAAAAUUUGUGCCGGUGUCUUAUAUUAUAAGUGUAUUUGGAACACGAGAACACUUGAAUUUUCUUGUU